GGGCCCUUUCUUCCGUUUGAACGUAAAGGCAUUUUUGAGACCACUACCAAACCUAGCAAAUAAACCGGGAGGCUUGACUGCUCGUAGGGAUUGUGGUUGAUAUGCAUCUGAGUCGAAUCUAUUGGCAUUCCAAGAUGUUUGGUCGUCAUGGUUAUUGCUCAUAAAUGGAUUUUCAUGGACAUCAUUUUCAAUGUUAUCAUCAUCAGCGUCUAAGUCAAUAGUCUCUUCGGGAAGUACAUGACUUGGUGGUAUAUAAUUCGCGUUCGCAUGUGAGUUGGUGACCUUUGAACGGGAUCCAGAAAGAGAAGUCGUGUCGUCUAAGAAGUCAAUAUCGAAAAGCGUGUCGUCCUCCCCAGGUUUCCUCUUUGGGGGGGUUUCUCUGUCGUCAUUCAUGGUAAAAUCAGGGAAUGAAAGAACCUACCAGUAAAUUAUUGCUUGGCGCUAACCUCUAUUUGGCGUUACUGGCUUCUUGUUGCACUAUUCCCCCUUAGAAUUGCCAACAAUUGUUGAUUAUAUGUUUCUUCAACUUAGUGGCAUUAAACAGAUUUGGGUUUUCUGGCAAAAA
rnacentral:sRNA from 1 species